rnacentral:rRNA from 1 species
UACAGAGGUCCCAAGCGUUGUUCGGAUUCACUGGGCGUAAAGGGUGCGUAGGUGGCGAAGUAAGUCGGAUGUGAAAUCUCCGAGCUCAACUCGGAAAUGGCAUUGGAAACUACUUUGCUCGAGGGUCGGAGGGGGGACUGGAAUUCUCGGUGUAGCAGUGAAAUGCGUAGAUAUCGAGAGGAACACCAGUGGCGAAGGCGAGUCCCUGGACGACUCCUGACACUGAGGCGCGAAAGCUAGGGGAGCAAACAGG